AGGAGGCAUUCUGGGUUUCUCAGUGCCAUGAAGAAAGAGGAACCAGUCCUCGUACCAACUACAUGAAGGGCAGCUGCGUGCAGCUUCAGACCACAGACACUGCUGUCAGUCUGAAGACUCUGAAUGAUUUCCUCAGGGAAGUCUCAGUUCCAGCCUUAGUGCAGUGUACUCCGAGCAGUACUCAGUGCUCUGUUUUGAGGAUUACUUACAGACUACACAGUGCUGUGACCUAGAUGUUCCAAGAAUAAGAGCAUGCAGUUGAGAUCUUGUUAUUUUCAAGGUUCCCAAAGGACCUAUUAACAGCAGACUUUUAUGGAACGUGGUUAAUGGUUAAACUGGUGAAAAUAACUGCACAAGUUAUACCUUUCAAGAUAAGAAGAGAAAUAUGGUAUUGAUUUGCCUAGUAAAAGGGACACCCUCAAACACGCGGAAUCCAUCUCUGCUUGUCACUCAGUGCUGCUCUGCCUUUUGGACAAGGCUGCUUGUAUGUGUGAAGUUAUUCAGCAAAAACAUAUUGCCAAGCCUGAAGAUUAGAGCCAGCUUCAGAAAGCCAUUUAACAAAGAGCUGGAAAGAAGCAGCAUCUCUACAUGGACUUAUCAGGAAGCUUAUGCAUCAGAUACUCAAUGCAAGUGCUAAGCAAGGAGGCAGUGUUGACUGAACAGCCACAGUAAGCACUGUAGGGAAAAACCUGCAGCUGAGGCUGGAUACUUUGUUCUGGUAUCUGAGUUCAAGGAGUGGAUACACUGAAAGAACAUCAGAGAAAAUUACUCAGGUUUCCAGCUGAAAUAUUGCUCAGAAGAUGGAAUGUCACUACAAAUCCUGGUCUCUAAUCAGCGCUCUUUUUUCUCUCUCACUUGAAUAAUUUAGUUACUAAGAAAUUAAGUUUAAUUUAACAUGCAGUUUGCCUAAAAUCCUCCUUGCUUUAUUUUCUUUCUUAAGAUAGAUAUGUGCAGAGGCUGAGGGCAUUGGGUUGCAUAUCCAAGUAUAAUAUGAGGUACCCUAAUCAAACUUACUGAUAUGAUGAUCCGUGCUAGUAACUGACAUUUCAAACUUUCAGAACAUCUUAAAACUUUCUCUGCUAUCUGCAGUUUCCUGCAGAAAGAAAAAGCCAAGGGUUCCAACUCACCAUUAGGUGGUGCCCCUGUCAUUCAUUUAAAAAAUAAAAAAUAAUUAUAAAAACUGCAAUAGAAUCUACUAUCCUUAUCUUCAUUGUGCAUGCCUGCUGAGGGUAAAGCUGUGCUAUUUGAGUGGAAUGAGGGGACAAAACAAGUGUCAUUUCCUUUUUAGGAAGUGAGAUCCCAUCAUGUGCAGACUUGAGGAAGCCAGCAUUGCAAAUUGGUGCUUUCUCCACUUAGCACUGGAGCUGUGAGAAUGCAUUUGUGUCCCUUGAACCUUCUUGGCCAGCAGGUCCGGGGGCUUUUGCACUGGUUUUGUG
rnacentral:lncRNA from 1 species